rnacentral:rRNA from 1 species
CCUACGGGAGGCAGCAGUGAGGAAUAUUGGUCAAUGGGCGCGAGCCUGAACCAGCCAAGUCGCGUGAGGGAAGACGGUCCUAUGGAUUGUAAACCUCUUUUGUCGGGGAGCAAAAGACGCCACGCGUGGCGUUCCGAGAGUACCCGAAGAAAAAGGAUCGGCAAACUCCGUGCCAGCAGCCGCGGUAAUACGGAGGAUGCGAGCGUUAGCCGGAUUUCUUGGGUUUAAAGGGUGCGCAGGCGGAAGGUCAAGUCAUCGGUAAAAUUGAGAGGCUCAACCUCUUCGAGCCGUUGAAACUGGUUUUCUUGAGUGAGCGAGAGGUAUGCGGAAUGCGUGGUGUAGCGGUGAAAUGCAUAGAUAUCACGCAGAACCCCGAUUGCGAAGGCAGCAUGCCGGCUUCCGACUGACGCUGAAGCACGAAAGCGUGGGGAUCGAACAGGAUUAGAUACCCUUGUAGUC